AACCGUUAGAGCGGUUAAAAAAAGGUGUUAGGCUCUAAGCGUGGAGGAUUCGUCCUCCAGUCACA
rnacentral:ribozyme from 1 species